GCCCCAGGUGCCCGGGGCAGAGCUGCUGACUCAUGCUGGAUAAUGAGGGCGCCGCGCGUCGGGCGGCCGCCGGGCCUAAUGGGAAGCUGCUCGCGGAGAGAGCACAGCGGGGUCCGGGCCGGUCCUGCCAGCCAGCGGGGCCUCGGCCUCUGAAGCGGGCGGGGGGCGGGGGGGCCACACCCCGCGGCCCCGGGGCCGGGGGCAGCCUGCAGGCGAGCAGCACCCACGUCCGUCCUGCAGAACGGGUGCUCCUCACGGGCGCCAGGCCCCCGGGGGGGGGUGCGGUUGUAGCUGGAGGGGGAGGGGGUACUGGGGACACCCCCGGCCCGGCCCCCCUCUGCCCUGCAAACCAGGAGCCCGGAGCACCUCCCAGCUGAGGCCCCCAAGCAUCGUGGGCUGGGCUGACCCGGUAGGGAGGUCUGUGUCCGGGGGGAGGAACGUGUCCAGGGGUGAGGACUGUAUCCUGGAGGUAGGGCUGUGUCCAGGAGGGAGGAUCGUGUCCAGGGGGAAGGAUCGUGCCCGGGAGGGAGGACCUUGUCCAGGAGGACUGUGUCCUGGAAGGGAAGAGCAUGUCCUGGGGGGAGGACCCUGUCCAGGGGGAGAGGAACAUGUCAGGAGGAAGGACCUUGUCCAGCGGCCAGAGGCAGAACCUGAGCCCAUCGCAGCAAACGGGCGAUGCAGGGGCGCGGCCAUCGUGGCUCCGAGGACAGGUGGUGGCGGGCGCUUCAUCCCCGUGAGGCAUCUUCUCCGGGGAGCGUUCCCGGCCGCGGCACCCACCCCCGCGCUUCCUCCACCUCCCCGUCCCCGCCUCGCACGGCCACCAAGUCCUCAUGUUACACCGGUGUGCUGCGAACGGUUCACUGUUCAUGAAUUAUAUCUUGAUUAAAAAAGUAAGAACAGGGGCCCCGGGGGGCUCAGUGGUCGAGUGUCUGCCUUCGGCCCAGGGUGUGAUCCUGGAGACCCGGGAUCGAGUCCCCCGUCGGGCUCCCUGCAUGGAGCCUGCUUCUCCCUCUGCCUGGGUCUCUGCCCCUCUCUCUCUGUGUGUCCCCCAUGAAUACAAUUUUUAAAAAUUAUUUUAAAAAUGUAAAAAUAAAAAAGUUCUGAGGCCCA
rnacentral:lncRNA from 12 species